CUUUUUUCUAUACAUAUAUUUCUAAGAGUGUAGGGAUUUAUUAAACUUUGUCACUGAAAACAAUGUCCUAUGGUGCGACACCAUACCCUUAUUUUGAGACGGGCAAUUUCAUGGACAACUAUCUCUUAUUGAUGGACCCCCUCUAAAGUUAUUUGACUGAAGACUCCAAAGAAGCCCAUGACAAGUGCACAUGAACAGUAAGAUUUGAGGGUGAGAUGAGCGGGAAAGAAAGAACAAGGAAGUACAGAGAGCGAAUAAACAGUGAUCCACACAGCAGGGAGGCGAUCCUUGCAGAGCGACGGAGAAAGUAUCAAGAAAAGAAGACUGAAGGCAAACUAUGUGCCUUUAACAUCAAUACAAUACCAAAAAGGAAGCAAGGACAAUUGCGAAAAACAUGGAAAGAAUCAAAGAAAAGAUGCAGAGCCAGGGAAAAAGCACUGAAUGCUAUUCUGGACAUAACCCCAACGUCUCCAGAAAACAUACUGGUGGAGCCAAUGGAUUUGAUACCAGCAGAACCUCCAGAAGAGCCUGCUCCUUUACCUCUUCAACCAGUAGUGCCCCCAAAUGUAGAGGAACAUAUGAAUUCAACACUACAGGCCACACCAACAAAAUGGAUAAGUCAGACCAAAAGAAUGAAAGUAAAACUGACAAGACUGCAGAAGGAGAAUGAAUUACUGAAAAAACGCAUCAAGAGUGAACAACUGAAAUCAAUGAAAUUCGGGAAAAAACUGCAUCGUCUAACUGAAAAGAAAGCACAAACACCAUUCCGUGAGAGAGUGUAUAAGCCUAAACAGAAAAAAAGUGCGACAGAGAAGAGACAAGAAGUUGUAUCCUUCCUGUCAAGAGAUGAAAACAGUAGACUACAACCUGGAAAGAAAGACACUGUUGGCCGUGUGACCAAGAUGCAGCGAAGAAUUCUCACAAAAUCUCUUCAAGACCUCUACAGUGACUACUGCAAAGAUUCUGGAAGGAAACAUUCAAUGUCAUACAGGCAGUUUGUCCGAUAUAGGCCGUUUUAUGUCACAGAAGCUAAAGCCACUGACCGUAACACUUGUGCUUGUUACCAACACGAGAACAUGCGGCUCCUCAUCAACCGUAUGGCACAUAGGGGCAUCAUUCCAACCCAAAGCCUGUCAUUGCUCCUUAAAAGCAUCACUUGUAGUGCUGAAAACAAGGAAUGCAUGUACAGAACAUGCACUCAAUGUUGUUUUAAUGAGAUUCAGCUUGCCAACCACAACCCUCUUGAUGCUGCAAGAUGGGAACAUUGGACUAAAGAAGAGGUGACCAUUAGCGAAAAAGUGUACAAGAACUGGGUGAAGAAGACCAAGAGUGGCUCUGUUCAACAACUGAUCGAAGAGUUCCAGCAUGAGCUUGAGUCAAUUGCAAGCCACCAGUUCAACUGGUUACACCAGGCAGAAAAUUUUAGAGAAAGGAAACAGAAAGUAGCUGAAAAUGAAAUCAUCCUACACAUAGACUUUUCGGAGAACUAUGGGUGCAAACUAAAUUCCGAAAUCCAGGCCUUUCAUUUUGGGGGGAAUCGACAGCAGGUCACUAUUCACACUGCAGUUGCAUACACCACACAUGGAACCCAGAGCUAUGCAACUCUGUCAGCAUCACUCAGGCAUAACAAUAAAACCUUUAUAAAUCAGUUUUCUGACUCAGUCUUGCGUUUACUUUCAUCUCUGUCCUUUAGUGUGACUUGGAUGUCCUAUAGUGUGACAUUUCUAAAAGAAUCAAAACUGUGUUUUAACUUAAAAAUGUCUUUGAAAAACAUUGAAUAUUGCAUUAGGGGAGAGACAAGUAUCACUUCUGAAAAUGUAGUAUAAUUUUGAAACAUUUUGUACAAUUGACAAGAAUGUUAUCCCUGCAUUUCUAGGAAGAAGUCCAACGAGCUCAACUGUAAGUGGGUAAAAAUAUUCUUAAUAGUAAUUUCACAUUAAAUAAAAACUCUUUAUGGAAAUCAAGGGUGCAACAAUGUAGAACAAACUGUUA